rnacentral:lncRNA from 1 species
UACAAUCAGAUGCAUAGAUUCAUUGAGAAGAUACUAGCAUAGCUUGUAAACCACAUUAUCAUACGAUUGCAUAUGCAUUAACCUUAACAAUCAAUGUAAAAAAAAGCUACUGCUAGUAAAAAAUCUAGAGUUCAGUCCAAAACUUCACAUUAGUUCAACCUUAGGGCACAUCAAAGUCCAGGAAAUCAGCAUAACAAACAAUACUACAUUUGAGCCAACAGUAAAAACAAAAGAGAAGAAACAGAUGGCUAUAUUCCUUUCAAUUUCUCAUUAAAAUUUCAAACACAUGUGAGGACCCUUGCAAUCACUUGCUGCUUAUGGUUGGCAGAUUUACCUGGAAAUGAGGCAAAAACCAAGAGAUAGGGAAUCAGUGAUCUGGUGACAGAAGAGCAGCAACAAAUAUCCCCAAAGCUUUUCAUAAUCCAAACUCAAAACAUUUCAAUCAAAGAGAGCACAUGAAUAAUGCAUUUAUCAUUGAAGAACCACCGAACCCCCAAAAGUGUAAUGAAAUAGUGUUUUUCAUUUUGCCUUCGGCUAUUUCUCUCUUUUUUUUUUUGACUGCUCCCUCUGGAGGACCCCCCUAAGGCAGGAAAAUGUGUCCUUUUAUGGGAAAAGGAAUGGGACACCACUGUGAAAUUCGUUUUUCCUCUUAGUCCCCGAAAUCUUGGCUAGCUUGCCAAGUAAAGCCCCUUUUCUAGCUUCUAGGAAGUUUCCUAGGCAAUUACCCAAUCUACCCCUGAAUUCCCCUGAUUUUACUGCAAAAGACUUAUUCGGUUAUAGGUCCAACGACCUAACAAUUGAACAAGGCCUGGGCUCAAACUGAACUGUGAGAUGAAUUCACGGCCCAAAUUGCACACAAAUUUUCCAAACUCAAACUACAUUAGAAUAACUCGACAACAUAGAAUGCAAAAAUUAGCUCAGCUAGACCAAACAAAUUUAAACAAAACUGGCCAGAAAACUCAUAGAAAAAAAAUUGAAAAAGACUGCUUUAAAGAGAACAAAAUGGGCAAAACCAAUUCUGUCUAAAACUUGUCCAACUUUAAAACUGCGUACUGGAAAGGAAAGAAGAAAGGAAGGGGGGGGAGGGGGGAAGGGACAAGAUCUGAGAAGCCAAAUAGUAAAUCAAAUAGAAAAGGAUGAAGAUACUAACUAAGUUUGGACUCGACCUCGACUGACCUUCCAAAUUAAACCUUAAAAGGAUAUUAAUCGUCUGUUUUUUGUCAAUAACAGGCGAAUAACAUCGCUUUGUGAUAAAACCGGCCUUGAAUAUUCAUAGAACUUGGAGAGUUACCAUUGCAUGAACGGGUUUCGACUUUGGCUUUUAGGGUUGGAAAUCUAGAUCCAAGAUUCAAGAAAUUUCGGUUGGAUUUGAUGAAAACAGGUUUGAGAUUUGAGUUGUGGGGGCCAAGGUGAGUCUAUGGAAUAAUUUUAGUGGAGAUUGAAUACUUGCCACCGGCAACCAUGGCUGAGUUGCUCAAGGACAGCGUAAGUUUAGUAAAGAAGAUGACAGAAACGAUUAGUUUGGUCUUAGGAUAAUGGGGAAUUUUAGACACAUUUAAGAGAAUCAGGGAAUUGACACCAGCCCUUUGAUUAGAUUUGGAUGGAAGGCCAGGAUUUUUUUUAACUCUUGAACUCAAAAUGACAUAGUAUGGCUUCAGUAC